rnacentral:rRNA from 1 species
GACGAACGCUGGCGGCGUGCUUAACACAUGCAAGUCGAACGGUGAAGCGCCUUCCUUUUUGGUGGGUGUGGAUGAGUGGCGAACGGGUGAGUAACACGUGAGUAACCUGCCCCCUUCUUCUGGAUAACCGCAUGAAAGUGUGGCUAAUACGGGAUAUUCUGGGUCUGUCGCAUGAUGGGUCUGGGAAAGAUAUUGUUUCGGUGGGGGAUGGGCUCGCGGCCUAUCAGCUUGUUGGUGGGGUGAUGGCCUACCAAGGCGGUCACGGGUAGCCGGCCUGAGAGGGUGGACGGUCACACUGGGACUGAGACACGGCCCAGACUCCUACGGGAGGCAGCAGUGGGGAAUAUUGCACAAUGGGCGCAAGCCUGAUGCAGCGACGCCGCGUGAGGGAUGGAGGCCUUCGGGUUGUGAACCUCUUUCGCCAGUGAAGCAGGCCUGCCUCGUUUGUGGGUGGGUUGACGGUAGCUGGAUAAGAAGCGCCGGCUAACUACGUG